rnacentral:rRNA from 1 species
UGGGGAAUUUUGGACAAUGGGCGAAAGCCUGAUCCAGCAAUGCCGCGUGUGUGAAGAAGGCCUUCGGGUUGUAAAGCACUUUUGUCCGAAGAAAGUACUCCUCUGGGUUAAUACCUCGGGGGGAUGACGGUACCGGAAGAAUAAGCACCGGCUAACUACGUGCCAGCAGCCGCGGUAAUACGUAGGGUGCAAGCGUUAAUCGGAAUUACUGGGCGUAAAGCGUGCGCAGGCGGUUUUGUAAGACGGAUGUGAAAUCCCCGGGCUUAACCUGGGAACUGCAUUCGUGACUGCAAGGCUAGAGUAUGGCAGAGGGGGGUAGAAUUCCACGUGCAGCAGUGAAAUGCGUAGAGAUGUGGAGGAAUACCGGUGGCGAAGGCAGCCCCCUGGGCCAAUACUGACGCUCAUGCACGAAAGCGUGGGGAGCAAACAGGAUUAGAUACCCUGGUAGUCCACGCCCUAAACGAUGUCAACUAGUUGUUGGGGAUUCAUUUCCUUAGUAACGUAGCUAA